GCUACGGCCGGGAUGUUCAUAACCCUUUGUUGUCCGACUCUGUUGCCUCCGGGGCGACCCUGCCUUCGGGCGGGGGCUCCGGGUGGACACUUCAAACUCUUGCGUAACUUUGCAGUCUGAGUAAACUUAAUUAAUAAAUUAAAACUUUUAACAACGGAUCUCUUGGUUCUGGCAUCGAUGAAGAACGCAGCGAAAUGCGAUAAGUAAUGUGAAUUGCAGAAUUCAGUGAAUCAUCGAAUCUUUGAACGCACAUUGCGCCCCCUGGUAUUCCGGGGGGCAUGCCUGUUCGAGCGUCAUUUCACCACUCAAGCCUCGCUUGGUAUUGGGCAACGCGGUCCGCCGCGUGCCUCAAAUCGUCCGGCUGGGUCUUCUGUCCCCUAAGCGUUGUGGAAACUAUUCGCUAAAGGGUGUUCGGGAGGCUACGCCGUAAAACAACCCCAUUUCUAAGGUUGACCUCGGAUCAGGUAGGGAUACCCGCUGAACUUAAGCAUAUCAAUAAGCGAG
rnacentral:rRNA from 1 species